AAAGCCCUCCCAGUGGUUACCUCCGGGAGCUCUCCUUCCCUCCCCGGGCUCCCCCGUCUGGCUCCCCGUGUUUACACAGACACACGCAGCAACUAGGGAACGACACUGAACGGCACCGAGGCCUGUGCACAUGUGAGGGCCGUUGGAAAGCUGCACCCAAGGAUCAGCCAGCCAGCCGGCCUCAGUGCCAAUGUAGGUGUCCCGGCCCAACGACGGUGCUGCAGCCCGGGAGGCCCACGGGCGCCUUUGGGGGGGCCCAGGCCUGAAUGCUGGGCUCAAGGGGACGGGACCUCUGGGAGCCCGGACCUGAAGAUGUGCCGACACUGGUCGGCCAGAGGGGGUCACAUACGAGGAGGACGCAAGGGCUGAGCAUGGCGUUUAUUACAUCUGCUUCAGGAAAAAUAAAUAACGCUUCGCACACCUU